rnacentral:rRNA from 1 species
GAUGAACGCUGGCGGCGUGCCUAAUACAUGCAAGUCGAGCGAACAGAUGAGGAGCUUGCUCCUCUGACGUUAGCGGCGGACGGGUGAGUAACACGUGGAUAACCUACCUAUAAGACUGGGAUAACUUCGGGAAACCGGAGCUAAUACCGGAUAAUAUAUUGAACCGCAUGGUUCAAUAGUGAAAGACGGUUUUGCUGUCACUUAUAGAUGGAUCCGCGCCGCAUUAGCUAGUUGGUAAGGUGACGGCUUACCAAGGCAACGAUGCGUAGCCGACCUGAGAGGGUGAUCGGCCGCACUGGAACUGAGACACGGUCCAGACUCCUACGGGAGGCAGCAGUAGGGAAUCUUCCGCAAUGGGCGAAAGCCUGACGGAGCAACGCCGCGUGAGUGAUGAAGGUCUUCGGAUCGUAAAACUCUGUUAUUAGGGAAGAACAAAUGUGUAAGUAACUAUGCACGUCUUGACGGUACCUAAUCAGAAAGCCACGGCUAACUACGUG